rfam:Nitrosomonas sp. AL212, complete genome.
CUAUGAAAAAGGCAAACUCUGCGAAAGCGGGGGACGCAAAGUCACUGAUCUAAAGGGCAAAUGCCCCAGGAUGGCAGGACUGCCAGG